rnacentral:rRNA from 1 species
UACGUAGGUGGCAAGCGUUGUCCGGAUUUACUGGGCGUAAAGCGCACGCAGGUGGCUGAGAAAGUCGAUUGUGAAAGCCCUGGGCUUAACCUGGGAAUUGCAGUCGAAAACUACUCGGCUAGAGUAUGGGAGAGGACAGUGGAAUUCCCGGUGUAGCGGUGAAAUGCGUAGAUAUCGGGAGGAACAUCAGUGGCGAAGGCGGCUGUCUGGCCCGUUACUGACGCUGAGGCACGAAAGCGUGGGGAGCAAACAGG